rnacentral:lncRNA from 1 species
GUCUCCUGACCGCGGUGGUGGCUGCAGUGGUUCCCUGGGCUUCCUGGCCCGGAGCUGGGCACCCAUUAUUCCCCCGCCCUGCGCAGCCUGGGGCUCCCGCUUGGCUUUCGGCGAGCCUACCGCGCCGGUGAGGAAACCCUGACUCGUUUGCAAACUGGGCGGGGAAGCAAAGUUUAGAGAAAUGGAGCUUUGUUAGAUAAAAAUUUUUUCAACGCAAACAGUCAUUUUCCAGUGAAAGGAGAGCGUAUCCGCCGUAGGAUGGACUUAGAUCGUGUAAAAGCUGAGGCCACCGAGGAUAUAACCUCCGGGGUCCUUUGCCUCCUUUUCCUUAGACUCCCUCCAAACUCGUGUAUCUUUCCUUCAGCAGUACUGGGCUCCACGCGAACCUAGUCCUUUGUCUUUACCCUAUUACCUUUCAUAACAUCCUAGUUGAAAAGUAGUUAUUCAACCGCGUUUGAAAAUGAGAACAGGUUCACAGAGGCUAGGUUACUUGCGAAGGUCGUUCAAUUAGUAACCAGUAGCGCCAGGACUGCCAGUUUCUUGCUUCCGAAUUCUCAUGGUAGCUUUCACCAGGCUCCCCGUCAAAUGCUAACGUCAACUACUGAACUAGAUUAGCAAAAAGGUCUUUUAACAGAAUUCCUGGUUUUCAGAGAGAGUUUCUUUCAUGAAGCGCCCCAUUUCUACAGAGGAAAAUCAAAAUGAAUCCUAAGCCAGUUGAAAGGAGGGAUAGGAUCAUAGUCAUCUUUAUCCCAAGUUGCCAGAUUUGAAAGAUUUUAUUUUCUCAAGACAAAAUAUUUGAAAUGGCAAAUAUUUCAAAUAUUUUGAAUAUUUGAACCACACAAUUUCGCAUUCAUGGCAUACUACUUGUGCUCUGAGCUGAAAGCCUUUUAGGUUAAAUAAAGUAAGUGGAGAUACAUCCGAAGCAGCAGUGUUGAGCUCAGAAAAACAAUACCCCAAAAUACGGCGCUUUGGUAUGCUGACUAUUUUGAACUAAAAGAGACUGGAAGGCCUCAGGCACAGUCUCUCCGACCUUUUCCUGCCCUCCUGUCUCCCAGCCUUCUUUCUUCCCCAAGGCAAGCCAUAGAAACCAGAAUUCCUCUUCCCCAAGAUGAGUCACAGAAACUAGAAGCCCUCUCCCCCAAAGCCAGCCAUAAAACCUAAACUUCCCCCCACCUUUCUAUGUAAGAGCUGGCCGUGGCCUGGCGCGGUGGCUCACGCCUGUAAUCCCAGCACUUUGGGAGGCCGAGGCCAGCAGAUCACCAGAGGUCGGGAGUUCGAGACCAGCCCAACCAACAUGGAGAAACCCUGUGUCUUCUAAAAAUACAAAAUUAGCCGGGCAUGGUAGUGCAUGCCUGUAAUCCCAGCUAUUCGGGAGGCUGAGGCAGGAGAAUCGCUUGAACCCGGGAGACAGAGGUUGCUGUGAGCCGAGAUCACGCCAUUGCACUCCAGCCUGGGCAACAGGAGGGAAACUCAGUCCAAAAAACAAGCUGGCCGUAAAGAACUUCUCUGGCCUACCUUGUCUGAUAGGCCGUAAGACCCUCAUUCUGGAAGAGAUCCUGCCUCAUACCUGGGAGGAAGGAAUGCUACACAGAAAGACCUCGUUGGGUUUCCACCUGCUGUCUGUUACUAUUAAGUGGCACACUUUUUGCCCAACCACAUUACUGCAGGCUGUCCAUUUUUCAUAGAAUCUAAGCAUUAAAAACAAGUUUUCCCUGGCUCUUUGGGUAGCCAUUUCUGAAGGCUCCCAUGUCAUGUAAAACUUUGAUUAAAUAAACUUCUUAGUUUAUUUUAGAUUUUUCUCUUAACCUAUCUUGUUAUACGAGCUCUGACCCUUAUGAUGAGGAAGAAAGGCAUCACAACUUUUCAGCCCCUACAACAGCUAACUAGUAUGCAAAUAUAAAGUCAGAGUAAGAGCUCAGUAUAUUUUGUUGAAUUAUUAAUCCCAUAACCUGACGAUUGUCAGUCCCUGUUUAUUAAUCAUCUGGAACUUAGAAGGGCAGAUUCUCCCAAACAGUAACUGCCAACUCUACCCCUCUUAGGCAAGAAACAGAUUCUUUUCAAGUCACUGACAUUGCAGUGUCUUGAAAUCUGUUUCAGCCGUGCCUUUUCAACCCAUAGUUAUUUUCUGAGAAUUGCUCCACCCACAUGGGUAGCCCCUGUAGCCAGGUUUGCUCUAUAUCCCUUUGCUUCUCAGAAACAUGGAAGUGGACAAAGGGAGAAGCAAAGAAAGCUGAACUACAGAGGGAGAGAAAAAUAGAUCUACUAAGGGAAAGCAACAGGAGACUCCGUAGUUCUUGUUUCCCUCCCCCUUGUGAGGCCCACUCUCCUUUCUACCCUUGGCCUGUAGGGGAGGCCUUGGCUGCCUUCCAGAGAAUUCUCCCCC